ensembl:lncRNA
ACUCUCAGGAGCAGAAGGGGGAUCUGGAUCAGACUUUGGUUUGGGGGCACUUCUAAUCUGAGGACUAGUCUGCAGCCCAGAAGGCCGACCAUAUCCUUGGUUGCAUCAUGAGAAGCAUGACCAGCCCCUCUGCUCUACUCUUAUGAGACCCUGCCUGGAGUAUUGUGUCCAGUUUUUCUUUUCUGAGAGACAGGUAUUUGGAAAAUAGGCAAUCUGUGGAAGUGGGACAUUAACUCCUUAAAUCCCAGUGCUUUCCAUAAUGUUAUGAUGUAGAAUACUGAUAACAAAAAUCAUAAAACCAUGACAACAGAACUAUCAAGUGUACAUUCCAGAUACCUUUUCACAAAAACAGUUGUCAUUUUCAGAUACACAGGUCCUAAAUACAUAUGUAUUUCCCAAUAAUUCAUGAUCUGAAUAUGUUCACAUGCUAUCUGAUGUCAUCUUGCCAGAGAAUUUAUUCUCUACUCCCUCUUAAAAAUGAUUUCUGUUAAUGGAUGUAUGCAGUAAAAGUACAUACACCUCUUUGAUGCACAUUCAAAAUAUCACACUUCUGCAGUGAAUAAAGAGGUUUUGUCUGGAAAUACAAACAUCUGUAACUUAGUUGUGGAGUCCCUUAAAAUUGCAAGCACCAAUUUGGACAGAUUUAACUUUUUCAAUCUGUUUUCCCUGCCUUAGCCUCCUUUAGUUCUGUUGCAACUUUCUUUAAUAGAUAAUAAAAAUUGGGAAACUAAGUAAAGGAGCUAUUUUUUUUUUUAAAAGAGAAAUCUGAAGUUUUGUUUUCUUAUACUUUUUAAAGUUUGUUUGAAUUACUGUACAGCUGAAAUGCAAUUAGACUUCAUUGUGCUAUAUUCUCAAUGCUUACAGUUUUAAAGCAAAAUGCUUUAGAAGCACAGUUGUUGACAGACAGGCAUUUCUACUCAGUUGUUGUCCUGAAUUCACUUAUUAGUACAAAAGCUUUAAAAUGUUUAUUAUUUAAUGUUAAUGUCUGUGGGUUAUUUUGCAUCAAAGCAUGUGGCCAGUUUUCAUCAGCAGCCAUGUGUAAAGUUGAAAUAAAAGAUUUUUGACCU